GACCACCCUUGUGGGUUAUGGCCAUACGGACAGCCGGGUCAAAUGCCGA
rnacentral:sRNA from 1 species